UCGAUAGAAAAAAAAAUUAAAAAUAUAGAGUCGAUAGAGCUUUUUGAGCUGAUUAUAACGGUACUAAAAUUUAAUUGCAGAUAUUAAAAUUAAGCGAGAUAUCGAAGGUCAAAGAUCGAAAUUUGCUUUUGGAAAAACCGUAAUAUCUCCAAAACUAGUAAAGCGUGUGUAAAAGUUAAUAAAUAGUUUUAAAGGAAAUUAA